rnacentral:rRNA from 1 species
CCUACGGGAGGCAGCAGUGGGGGAUAUUGCACAAUGGGGGGAACCCUGCUGCAGCGACGCCGCGUGGGUGAAGAAGCGCCUCGGCGCGUAAAGCCCUGUCAGCAGGGAAGAAAAUGACGGUACCUGAAGAAGAAGCCCCGGCUAACUACGUGCCAGCAGCCGCGGUAAUACGUAGGGGGCAAGCGUUAUCCGGAUGUACUGGGUGUACAGGGGGCGCAGACGGCGAUGCAAGCCAGGAGUGAAAGCCCGGGACCCACCCCCGGGACGGCUCGUGGAACUGCGUGGCUGGAGUGCAGGAGGGGCAGGCGGAAUUCCGGGUGGAGCGGUGAAGUGCGUAGAUAUCAGGAGGAACACCGGUGGCGAAGGCGGCCUGCUGGACUGCAACUGACGUUGAGGCCCGAAAGCGUGGGGAGCAAACAGGAUUAGAUACCCCUGUAGUC